rnacentral:rRNA from 1 species
GCUUAACACAUGCAAGUCGAGCGAGAACCAGACCUUCGGGUCUGGGGACAGCGGCGAACGGGUGAGUAACACGUGGGUAAUCAACCCUCGGUACUGGGAUAGCCCGGGGAAACCCGGAUUAAUACCGGAUGGCCCUUCGGAUCUUCGGUUCUGAAGGAAAAGGUAGCUUCGGCCUCCGACCGAGGACGAGCCCGCGGCGGAUUAGCUUGUUGGUGGGGUAACGGCCUACCAAGGCGGCGAUCCGUAGCUGGUCUGAGAGGACGAUCAGCCACACUGGGACUGAGACACGGCCCAGACUCCUACGGGAGGCAGCAGUGGGGAAUCUUGUCCAAUGGGCGAAAGCCUGAGACAGCGACGCCGCGUGCGGGAAGAAGGUCUUCGGGUUGUAAACCUCUUUCAGGAGGGACGAAGCCACUCGGGUUAAUAGCCCAGAGGGUGACGGUACCUCCAGAAGAAGCCCCGGCUAACUACGUGCCAGCCGCCGCGGUAAUAC